GACGAACGCUGGCGGCGUGCUUAACACAUGCGAGUCGAACGGAAAGGCCCUGCUUUUGUGGGGUGCUCGAGUGGCGAACGGGUGAGUAACACGUGAGUAACCUGCCCUUGACUUUGGGAUAACUUCAGGAAACUGGGGCUAAUACCGGAUAGGAGCUCCUGCUGCAUGGUGGGGGUUGGAAAGUUUCGGCGGUUGGGGAUGGACUCGCGGCUUAUCAGCUUGUUGGUGGGGUAGUGGCUUACCAAGGCUUUGACGGGUAGCCGGCCUGAGAGGGUGACCGGCCACAUUGGGACUGAGAUACGGCCCAGACUCCUACGGGAGGCAACAGUGGGGAAUAUUGCACAAUGGGCGGAAGCCUGAUGCAGCAACGCCGCGUGCGGGAUGACGGCCUUCGGGUUGUAAACCGCUUUCGCCUGUGACGAAGCGUGAGUGACGGUAAUGGGUAAAGAAGCACCGGCUAACUACGUG
rnacentral:rRNA from 1 species